CCCCUCCAUAUUGGGCAGAAAGACACCUUGUUGGUGGCGGUGUUCUUAUAUCAGUCAGGGGCAGAGCAGAUGGCAGUCCUUUGUUCAUCCUAGCUUGAUGCUUGACUUGGUGGCCAAAGGUGUUUUAUGCCUGGACACAUAA
rnacentral:snoRNA from 1 species